rnacentral:tRNA from 1 species
GAGGGGAUAGCUCAGUGGCAGAGUGCAUGCUUAGCAUGCAUGAGGUCCUGGGUUCAAUCCCCAGUACCUCCA